ACUUUUUCCAUUUCUCUGACAUUGCUGGAGCACCUGUGGCCUUAUCUGGAUCCUUACGUAGCCUUUGCCUUUUCCCCCGCGAUAUCUGAGCAGCUGCACCCUGAGAUUACGAGAGGUAGAGGUUGGAAAUGCAGUCACAGGCCCUGCCGUUGCACAGGAAGGCACCCGGAGGCCCCUGCACUGCACGGGACGGCGCUCAGAGGCUCCUUGGACGCAUAGAGGGACAACUUGUGCGUGUGGAGCAGAAGCCACCGUGUCCCCAGAGGGGUUACUGGGGAUGAAGCCUCUGGAAAGGGGCUGCCACAGAAGCAGGGGGCUGCAUCUGCCGGCUUGCUCGGCUCCCCACAGCCGUCACUGGGAGCUGCGCCCAGGAGGAGCUGAGCAGCAGCUGGGCAUGGCAGCACGUGCUGGGCUGCUUUUCUUUUUGGAAAUAAAAACUGGAGCAAGCCACAACUGAGACAAGGCGAUAUUUGAUUUAUUUGCUGCAUUGUUUAUUUAACUGCUGCUAACAGCUCUCAGAAAGAGGCAUCUCCUCCCUCGCUUCCCAAGUCCUUGUCUUCUCCUGCAGCGAGCUCUUGCUAGCUACCAGGCUGUCAGGUUAUCCACCUGCCACACAUAUGGCAGGUCCCCCAGACAUAUGGACAGUGCGGUUCCUGCAGGAAAACCCCGUAAUGACCCACCAGGCCAGUGGGGUCCCAGCUGCCAGGCAUGGCUGGUGCCUCCUCCUCACAAUUUGGUUGAGGCUCGGGAUGGGUGCAGGUCUGCCUGGUUGUGGGGCAGGCUGUUGCUAUGUGGCAAGGUGGUGGCGACUGGCAUUCCCUGCCUGCUGUGGGAGUCCUCUAUGUGGAGAUGCUGCCCUGGAACUAAGCUGGUGCUGCAGAGGUCUGGGUGAAACGCUGCUAUGGGGCCACCACCCGCAGACCCACUGGCAGAGCAGCUGUGGGUUUUGCUGCCAAAGCUCUCCCAGCUCAACCUCUGUCCCAGCACGACUGCAGAAGGGCCAGACCAAACCAAGUCUUGCGUGGCACAGCUGCCAGCGUGAUUGUCCUCCUGGAUGCAGCCGGAGCCACUGGCAGUGGGGGGACGGCUUCCCUCUGGAGCAGAGCUGUGGGCUGGGGAUGCCGCAUGUUUUCAGGUUCCCUGUGCCCGCUGCCAUCGCAGUGAUGGUGCUGAGCUCCCCGGAGCUGGGACUGUGCCACGGGAGGUCGCUCUGCCACCACUGUUCGGCGUCCCCGGCCCCUGCCCCGCAGGGCCGCAGCUGUUCCCGCUGCACGGAGCCAGAGUACACUGUGUUCGCCCAGAGUCCUUGAUUAAACAAAAUGUUUAUGCAUGCCUCUGCUCCGACGAACAUCUUGGCCGGCUUGCAUGAAGCCUGUUCUCUGCCACAGCUCCAACUGUGCCGGGGUGCAAGCCCCAGCUGCUGGGAGGUUUGGGGAAGGGUCUGUGUGGUGCUAACUUUAAGGAGCCUGCUGGCCUUCUCUGGGUGGUCCCCACCCUCAGUCCCUGCACCCCCAGCUCUUCUACAAGGGGCUGUGGCUGCCAGGGGAGGCGGCUGCCCUGCAACCCCUUGGUGCCAAGGGGAGCUGCUGGCCCCUUUGAGGGGCUGCAGGGGGGUCAUGCU